rnacentral:rRNA from 1 species
CCUACGGGUGGCAGCAGGGAGGAAUAUUGGGCAAUGGGCGCGAGCCUGAACCAGCCAAGUAGCGUGAAGGAUGACGGCCCUACGGGUGGUAAACUUCUUUUAUAAAGGAAUAAAGUGAGGCACGUGUGCCUUUUUGUAUGUACUUUAUGAAUAAGGAUCGGCUAACUCCGUGCCAGCAGCCGCGGUAAUCCGGAGGAUCCGAUCGUUAUCCGGAUUUAUUGGGUUUAAAGGGAGCGUAGUUGGGUUGUUAAGUCAGUUGUGAAAGUUUGCGGCUCAACCGUAAAAUUGCAAUUGAUACUGGCAGUCUUGAGUACAGUUGAGGUAGGCGGAAUUCGUGGUGUAGCGGUGAAAUGCUUAGAUAUCACGCAGAACUCCGAUUGCGAAGGCAGCUUACUAAACUGCAACUGACAUUGAUGCUCGAAAGUGUGGGUAUCAAACAGGAUUAGAUACCCCUGUAGUC